rnacentral:rRNA from 1 species
AUGCGUCCGCUAGACGAGAAGGAGACCACGAUGGUCUUCGACAAGCUCUUCAAGUUCACCGGCCCCAACCUGAAGCACCUCACCGUCCACGCGCUCGACCUCCUCGCCGCCCACGCGCGCCGCCGCAUCUGGCUGAAGCCCGACAUGGAGCGCUCGUUCCUCUUCGGCAAUUCCGUGCCCACGUCCGCGCUCGCGCGCAUCACCGAGAACACCAAGUCCGGCGAUGGCGUCGUCGUCAUGUCCAUGGCCGACGUGCCGCUUGGGUUUGGGGUCGCCGCCAGGGGCGCGCAGGACUGCAGAAAGGCCGACACCAACGCCGUGGUGGUGCUCCACCAGUCCGACGCCGGCGGGUACCUCCGCAAGUAG